rnacentral:rRNA from 1 species
UACGUAGGGUGCGAGCGUUGCCCGGAUUUAUUGGGCGUAAAGGGCGCGUAGGCGGCCACGCACGUCCGUUGUGAAAUCGCCCGGCUCAACUGGGCGGGGUCGGCGGAUACGGCGUGGCUGGAGCAAGCUAGGGGGCAAUGGAAUUCCCGGUGUAGUGGUGGAAUGCGUAGAUAUCGGGAGGAACACCAGUGGCGAAGGCGGGUCUCUGGGCCGAUACUGACGCUGAGGAGCGAAAGCGUGGGGAGCGAACAGG